rnacentral:tRNA from 1 species
GGCGGAUGUAGCCAAGUGGAUCAAGGCAGUGGAUUGUGAAUCCACCAUGCGCGAA